AAGUCGUAACAAGGUUUCCGUAGGUGAACCUGCGGAAGGAUCAUUAGAAAUGUGCCGCAAGGCCUUAUCUAUUCACACACAACUGUGCACGCCUUCGGGCAUAAACUAUAUAAACAGUAAUGAAUGUAAACAAGUUAAUAUAAUACAACUUUCAACAACGGAUCUCUAGGCUCUC
rnacentral:misc_RNA from 1 species